CUUCCAGUAGCACCUUAGAGACCAACUAAGUUUGUUAUUGGUAUUGUUAUUUCGUGUGCAUGCACACAAAAGCUCAUACCAAUAACAAACUUAGUUGGUCUCUAAGGUGCUACUGGAAG